rnacentral:lncRNA from 1 species
CACAAACGAAUUUUAAUGUGUAACCAUCUCAAAGGACAUUAAACCUUACGAGCAAAGAGAUACUGUUAACAACCUAACGAUAUCUUCCUCGAUCUAUCACUCUCACAGAUGAACUCAGAUAGCAAUGGUGGAUUACAGGAUCACAGAUACACGAAUUGGAGGAAGGAAGGUAAGGGGAAAGGAGGGUAGCCGCCGCCGGGUUCAUUCGUGAUCCACUGGAUAGGUUGUUCGUUGCUUUUGCCCAAGUAUUUGUAGCUGCAUCGGCCAGAGGAUUCCCAGCCGGGCCAGGCCCAAGUGAUGUCCAAAGGCAAGCCCAUAUGGGGUAGGGGGAGGGCCCUGACAUCCCCCCUCCUUGAGAUUCGGCUUGCCCCCAAGCCAAUGCCACCGAGACCCGCCUGAAUCCCAUUGCACUCGAUCGUCCUUGCCCCUUGAAUGGCGCCAUUGAGAACCGCCCGGGUCCCAUUGCCGUCGGUGUUGCUUGACUAGCUUGACGUCAUGGUGGUAGUCGAAGUCGGGGUUGACUUGAACAACGAGGUUGUAGUAGUCGUGGCCGAUGGCAACCUGACCAAAGGAGGUGUCGAGGAAGUAGUCGUUGUAGACGUUGAUGUAGUACUUGUGGUCGACGUAGCCUUGCACCAAGCCGGCAGCAAGAAUGACCACGAUGGCAUUCCCUACUUCUUGAAAAUGUUCUACGUCGCAACAUUGAGAGAACGACAUACCACUCAUGGCUUGUGCUUCAUGGUUGGUGAGCAUCGACAUCAGGAUCUUCAACGACCGAGGAUUGCAAGCUGGCAUGGCAACACUCCCGGGAUCCCAUGACUUGUGCACAAUUGCAUUUUGUAUGUGUUCAUGCAUGCUUGCAUUCUCAUCAGAGUCAGGUAGUGACAUCUACUGCUGAACUAACUGAUGAAUGGGCUUGUCCAUAUGAGAUAUUUGUUCCACUUUGCCCACUAUACCAUCUAGUUCAGCAACGUCUUGUGAUGGGCCUCUCAGGAUACUGAAUGUUAUAUCCAACCAAAAGUCUCCUGCUACGCUCCACUUCCUUGUAGAAAGAAGGGAAAUAAACAUAGAUGACUUGUUGUCAGGUAGCACAAUAUCCUCAAAAUUAAUCGGCGUCCAAGAGACCUUCUUGUCAAGCAAAGAUUCACCUAUGGUGUAACGCCCCGAGACCGUUGUGCCAGGUGUCCUCCAGUUAUUCGCUGUUGUUGCCUUGUCAUGCUUGCGUGUCAUGCAUCUCAUAUCAUGUCAUCAUGUGCAUCGCAUUUGCAUACAUGUUCGUCUCAUGCAUCCGAGCAUUUUCCCCGUUGUCCGUUUUGCAUUCCAGCGCUCCUAUCUCCUCCGGUGGUCAUUUCUACCUUCUUCUCGUGUGUGGGGGUUAAACAUUUCCGGAUUGGACCGAGACUUGCCAAGCGGCCUUGGUUUACUACCGGUAGACCGCCAGUCAAGUUUCGUAACAUUUGGACUUUGUUUGAUACUCCAACGGUUAACCGAGGGACCGAGAAGGCCUCGUGUGUGUUGCAGCCCAACACCCUUCCAAAGUGGCCCAAAACCCACCUAAACCUCCUCCAUCAUCUCGGUCGUUCGAUCACGAUCGCGUGGCCGAAAACCGCACCUCAUUUGGACUCUCCUAGCUCCCUCUACAUAUAAAUAUGUGCUCCCCUCCCGAAAUUCGCGGUGCAAAAUUUAAAAUCCCUCCCCUCGCGCCACCGGACAAAUCCUCCCACGCCGGACAAUGUCCGCGCCGCCGCGUCGGAACAAUCCGGGCGUGCCACGUCUCCCCUGGCCGUCUCCAGCCACCCUUGGGCCGCCAUGUGGCGUCGCCACCUCACCCCAGCGCUCCCCACCGUCGCCGGCCCUGCGAGCCCUGCCACAGCCCACCUGAGCCCAUCUGGGGCUCGGGACAGCCCCCGCGUCGCCUCCCGCUCCCUCGUCCCCGAGCUCCAGGGGAGGGAGCUCCCGCACCAGGCCCCGUCGGCGUCCUCGCCGGAGCUGCUCGCCGGAGCAGCAACGAGCUCCACCAGGUCGACCCCGUCCCUCUCCUCUCCCUUUUAUCUCUCUUCUCUUUUUCUCUCCCUGACCUCUCUGCGCUUCCAUGUGGUCAGCGCCGCCACUAGGGCUCCCUCGCCAACGCCCACGACGAACCGCCGUUGGAUCCAGCCGGAAUUGACCCGGCGCGACCAGAUCUGGUCAUCUCCAUGUCCCCGCGACCUCCCCGCCGUUGUUGCGCCGUCGCCGGCGUGCGCCGUCGCCGCCGUCUCUGCCUUUCGGUUCAUGCGGGCACGAGGAGGAAGAGCGCCUCUCGUGUGGGCCCCGCGUGGGCCGAUGCAGCCCAAGGCCCAGCUCCCGGCCCAGUCGCCCGGCCUGCUGUUUCCACCGCCUUGGGAAAAGGCCCACUGGGUGAGAACCCCGCUGUGCACUGUUGGCCCAGUCCGAUUCGGCCCGCCUCUAUUUUUUCCAGAUCUACAAUUUGUCUAUUUUUCCAGAGGAGAGCAUUUUUGCAGGAAAACCCUUGUGGAUCAUGCAUAUAAUAACUCAUGAAUUGUGCAUCGGAUCUAAGUAAGUUAUAUAUGAAACUUGCUUAGAAUUUUUUCUAGAUUCAUAAUAUCCAACUUUCAUCUAUGUUUGAAAUGUUUAAAAUGCUGUUUGAUUAAAUUUGCUCCUAUGUCAUGUUAAAAUGCUUUAAUUCAUAACUAAAUAAUCGUAGCUCGGAUUUAAACAAACUUUAUAUGUAAAUGGGGUAGAAAAAUGCCUAGUAUAACAUGGUGGCAUCACUUUGCAUGUUUAACAACUAUAAAAUAUGGUUUAGGGCAGAACAGUACCAAAUCUAUAAUAUGCUCAUGAGGAGUUUUUGGAUUUGUUGUUCGAUAUUCCGGCCUCAUUUAAACUUGCCUAGAUAGAUAGUUUUAUUGUGCUUCACCCUCUUGCCAUGUUAAUAAACAUUUAAUCUUGUUGGGUACAUAAACGAGAGAGAACUAAAUAAGUCAUGUGGUGUUUUCUUCAAUAUGCAACUCCGUUGCAUAAUGAGCUCCACUUAAUUUGUAGGAUUGUUUGUGCAUUUUGCCAUGCCAUGCCAUGUAUCAUUAAACCGGACAUACAUCAUACUUGGUUGUGCAUCAUGCCAUGUCCACGUGUUGUUUAUUUACUAUGUUGUGUGCUUCUUUCCGGUGUUGCUUCUUCGGGUUGGUUCCGUUAACGUCGCGUUUGUGAGGAACCGUUCGACUACGCUCGUUUUUCUUCUUCAUGGACUCGCUCUUCUUCCUUGCGGGAUCUCAGGCAAGAUGACCAUACCCUCGAAAUCACUUCUAUCUUUGCUUGCUUAGUUGCUCACUCUUUUGCUAUGCCUAUGCUGCGAUACCUACCACUUGCUUAUCAUGCCUCCUAUAUUGUUGAACCAAGCCUCUAACCCACCUUGUCCUAGCAAACCGUUGAUUGGCUAUGUUACCGCUUUGCUCAGCCCCUCUUAUAGCGUUGUUAGUUGCAGGUGAAGAUUGGAGUUUGUUCAAUGUUGGAACAUGGAUAUUUUGUUGGGAUAUCACAAUAUCUCUUAUUUAAUUAAUGCACCUAUAUACUUGGUAAAGGGUGGAAGGAUCGGCCUUAUGCCUAGUGUUUUGUUCCACUCUUGCCGCCCUAGUUUCCGUCAUAUCGGUGUUAUGUUCCUGGAUUUUGCGUUCCUUACACGGUUGGGUUAUAAUGGGAACCCCUUGACAGUUCGCCUUGAAUAAAACUCCUCCAGCAAGGCCCAACCUUGGUUUUACCUUUUGCCACCUAGCCUUUUUCCCUUGGGAGUCACGCAUCCCGAGGGUCAUCUUAUUUUAACCCCCCCGGGCCAGUGCUUGUCUAAGCGUUGGUCCAAACUAGAGCCCCUUGCAGCGCCACCUCGGAGAAACUCGAGGGCUGGUUUUAGUUGUACGGAUUGCUUAUCCGGUGUUGCCCUGAGAACGAGAUAUGUGCAGCUCCUAUCGGGAUGUCGGCACAUCGGGUGGUCUUGCUGGACUUGUUUUACCAUUGUCGAGGAUGUCUUGUAGAACCGGGAUACCGAGUCUGAUCGGAAUGUCUCGGGAGGAGGUCUAUUCCUUCGUUGACCGUGAGAGCUUGUCAUGGGCUAAGUUGGGACACCCCUGCAGGGAUUUGAACUUUCGAAAGUCGUGCCCGCGGUUAUGGGAAGAUGGGAAUUUGUUAAUGUCCGGUUGCAGAAAACCUGAAGUUGACCUUAAUUAAAAUACAUCAACCACGUGUGUAACCGUGAUGGUCUCUUCUCGGUGGAGUCUGGGAAGUGAACACGGUGUUGGAGUUAUGCUUGACGUAGGUUGUUUUAGGAUCACUUCUUGAUCAUACUUUUAUCGACCGUGCUUUGCCUUCUCUUCUCGCUCUCACUUGCGUAUGUUAGCCACCAUAUAUGCUAGUCGCUUGCUGCAGCUCCACCUCACCCUUUUACCUUACCCAUAAGCUUAAAUAGACUUGAUCGCGAGGGUGCGAGAUUGCUGAGUCCCCGUGGCUCACAGAUACUUCAAAAACCAGCUCGCAGGUGCCGAUGAGACCGUGCAGGUGACGCAAGCAAGCUCAAGGAGGAGCUCAAUGAAGAUCUUGUCCUUUGUUUUGUUUCAUUCUAGUUGAUCAGUAGUGGAGCCCAGUUGGGGUCGAUCGGGGACCUUGUCGCAUUUGGGGUUCUUCUUUUAUUUUGGUUCCGUAGUCGGACCUUGAUUGUAUCUGGAUGAUGUAAUGCUUUAUUCAUGUAUUUGUGUGAAGUGGUGAUUGUAAGCCAACUAUGUAUCUCUUUUUCCUUAUGUAUUACAUGGGGUAUGUGAAGAUUACCUCACUUGCGACAUUGCUUUCAAUGCGGUUAUGCCUCUAAGUCGUGCUUGACACGUGGGAGAUAUAGCCGCAUCGAUGACGUUACAAGUUGGUAAUCAGAGCCUUCCCCGACCUUAGGAGCCCCCACUGAUUGAUCGUUCUUAGAAGCUGUUGUUGAGUCUAGAAAAAAUGUUUUGAGUCAUUUAGGAAUUAUAUAUCGGAGAGUUUAGGAAUUCUUUUUACUCCCCAGUCUCCUCACCGCUCUGGUAAGGCAUCCUGACGUAGAGUUUUGACUCUUCUCUUCUCAAAUUUCACUAAAUUUUUUUAGGAUCACGCGGGUAUCUUGGAAUCGUUCCGAUGGUUUUGUGACGAGAACAUUGUCUUGGUGCCUCCUGUCAGGGGUUUUGUGGAAGUGUCCCGGGGAGUUGAGCUCUGAGGUGUUGUCGUCAUAAUUUUAUCGUUGCAGUUCUGGAAUACCUGAGUUUAUUACGCCGACAUCGAAAAUCUCUUUUAUGCAGUUCGUUGGUGAGAUAACCUCGACGCCACCCAGUACUGGGGCGGGAGUUCGGGAGUAUUGCCAUAACUCGUAUAACGGAUGCUUUUCGAAGGUUGAGGUAGACGAUUUCCGAAGGUUUCUUGGUUAUGUGUUGAAGGAUGGAUACAACUGGAUGUAGGAUUUGUUAGUUUUGGGUGAGAUAUUAUGCUUCCCCUGAAUCCCCAACACCUGAUUGCAUAACCGGAAAGGUUCGGGAGUUUCAUAAGUGGGAAUUCAAGUAGCUCUUAGGAUAUCUUUUCGACAGAUGUAUGAUAUGAAAUUGGGGUUCGACGUCUAGUGGUCCGCCUAUCCACGGUCGGUUUUACAGUGGUCUCGUUGUGUCUUAAAGAGUCCUUGGCUUUGCCGACUCGGGGACGCUUCGUAUGUCAUGUGCACUGCCUUGUACAUGAUGGUGCUGUACGAUCGAGCCCGUGUAGGCCCCACCACGAAAACUUCGGACAAAAUCUCUAUCAUAUGUUUGUUCCGGCUUAUUCGGCAAGCCAAUCCUUGUUUUGUUUUUGAGUUGUGGUAUUCGAGUUGCUUCGAAGUCAAGUGUUGAUUCCAUACCUUUCCUAAACGGUGUUCUCAUACUCCGAUGUGAAUACAAAUCCUUCAUGAUAAUCGAGAUUGUCAUGUCAAUCCUUUGCACCGAUGUGCUUCUCUUCAAGUGGAUCCGAUCAUUUCAACAUCCGCAAGAUCAAUUCUAAGUUUCUCAAUGGUGUUCGUUUCAUCCAUUCCAAAUUGUCUUUGUUUUUCCCACCCUCCCUCCCUUGUUUUUCUUCAAGGAUUCAGAUUUCUUAAUCACUAUCCAUUUUAUUGAUGGAAGUCCCUCCGUUCUAUUUCCUUCAUGUUCUUAUCCGGUGAUUCUCAUGAAGAUACUAACGGAGCUUCUAGUUCAUCAUUCUUCAUUUCUUUUAUCUUCUCCGGUGGUUUCAAGUCAAGCUUUGUUGAUCUUACCCUUUCCUCUUUUCAAUGUCUUCUCAUACCGGUGCACCUCAUAAUAAUUCACUUCUCACUAUUCUUUUGUUUCGGCGUGCUCAAGCUUUCUCAAAAGGCUCGUCUUGUCAUUCAAGAUCCGUUCAACCUAGUUCGAGGUUGUUAUCUUAUUCAAGCCAUUUAAUUCAACUGGUGCAAUAUCUCUUUUCAAGUAAUCAUUUCAACGGUGUUUCUUUUGAGUGGGCCCUAACCCACAGGUCUUUUCCCAGGAUCUUACCUGACUCUUCUUAUUUUCCCGGAGCUAUCCUAAAUUCUUUUUGAAGUUUGACGUAAGAAUGAGUUAUCAUCAGUCAAAUGCCUUCUCCAAGAUCUUUCACACUAUUUUCAUCGUUGGCUCAACCUUUUCCAUUCUUCAUUCGGAGUGCCUCAACAAUUCAUGGUGGUGUUCCUCAUCGUCAUUCUCUGCAGUUGGAGACCGAAGAAGAGUUUCUUUUAAAUAUUGCCCCAUUCUCUGCCAUCCUCUCAUAAUUGUUUUCGUUUGUGAGAUUUUCACCCAUCCAGAGUAAUUCAGGAGUCUUUUCAGUUUGAUUCUCUGAAGUCCAUCAUUUCGGGAUUAUUCAUUCUCAGCUUUCAGCUAUCAUUCUCCAAAUUUUACCGGUGCAUCGUUCAAGUGAUCUUUAAUCGGCUCGUGAUCUCUUCGUUCUCAUGUUUCUAAAUCCUCUAAAUCUAUGUUCAUUUUAUAAUUCUUCCCGGUGUUUUCUUUGCCUUUACUUCAAUCGUUUUUCAAUUCUUACGGUGGUUCGUUCAAGAUCUCUCUUCCGUAUCAAUUCAUUCGUUCUUUCAAUCCCGACGGGUGAUUUGUUGAAGACCUUCUCAAGUUGGCGCUAUAUCUGUCUUAAUGCUCGCUACGAGAAUAAGUAGUAUGUCAAAUCCGUUGAUUGUCAUCAAUUUAAUUGAUGAAGGAUAAACAUAAUGUAAUUCUUAUUCUUGUUUCAUCGAGUAAAUUCAAUUCCUUAUUUCGGAGCCUCAUCAAAACUCUCGGUUUCACUUGUUUAAUCUUUAUUUCCGGAGCUCAAAGUUAUUUAAUUAUAUCAUUCCAAAGAUCUAUCUAAUCAUUGCAAGGAUUCACCUUGUGUUUUCAACUUCUCUUUCCUUUCGAUUGAUCAUUCUUUUAUUACCGGAGUUCUUCAUGGAGGCUCUACAUGAUGGUUCAUCAAGGAUUUAAUUCCUUCUCAAAGUGUUCAUUGAGAUUCUUUUCAGAGGAGCUCAAGCAUUCUCCAUCUUGCAAUCCGAGUGCAAUUCCCUCUACCAUAUCAUCGGAGGUGGUAUUAUGUCAUUCUUGAUAAUUUGAGUUCAUGUUUCAUGAUUCACAGGUUGUUAAGAAUGGGGUAUUUUAAAUCCAUCAACCUAUUCGUUGGAAUUACCUUGGGUUAUAUUUCACCUAGAGCGUUCCCUAAGGAUUGUUGCUACUUAUGGUGCUUAUAAAUGACCCAAGUUCUUCAUCUAUCCUCCCGGUGAAUAGGUUUCUCGUCUCCUUGUUGAUAUCAACCCAAUCUUUGAUUUUGUUAGUGGCAGGUUGUCACCUCAUAAUUUGAGAUGUAUUCCAUAAGACCAUGGCAAGUUUAUCCUUUUUCGUUGCUGGUGUUCCAACAACUCCAUUCGACCCUUCUCCUAAGGAUGCCUUAUCAAACUCUUUUGUGGCAAAAGUUGGCAUUUUCUUCUCCAUUCUUUUAUUUUAAUCAUCUAUCUUCUAUUUCUUUCUCCUGGAGGCAUUGUGUUGUUUCUCUCUUCGAACCUUCUUCUUGUCCUUGUCAUGCUUAUCCUUUUAACCGGAGUGUUGUGCCCCUUUGCUCAUGCUCUUUCAUUUUAUCAAGUCUUUCAUCUCUUUCCAACUGGAGUGUUGUCCGAAUUUGCUCUUCCUUGUUUUCCUCUUCCCUACCGGAGUGCUUUCAACUGCAUUCAUCUCCGUUGUAUUCUUUUCUCCAUAUGGAUUAACCUCUUCAAGGUUCCUUGGUUUCACUCGUUUUCCAAAGAAGCAAUUUAGUUUUACCUCUUCUCUUUCUCUUCCGUUUGUCCCUCCGGUGCCAUUCUAGAUCUUGGGACGAGAUCCUCUCGUAGUGGUGGAGUGUUGUAACGCCCCGAGACCGUUGUGCCAGGUGUUCUCCAGUUAUUUGCUGUUGUUGCCUUGUCAUGCUUGCAUGUCAUGCAUCUCAUAUCAUGUCAUCAUGUGCAUCGCAUUUGCAUACAUGUUCGUCUCAUGCAUCCAAGCAUUUUCCCCGUUGUCUGUUUUGCAUUCCGGCGCUCCUAUCUCCUCCGGUGGUCAUUUCUACCUUCUUCUCGUGUGUGGGGGUUAAACAUUUCCGGAUUGGACCGAGACUUGUCAAGCGGCCUUGGCUUACUACCGGUAGACCGCCUGUCAAGUUUCGUACCAUUUGGACUUCGUUUGAUACUCCAACGGUUAACCGAGGGACCGAGAAGGCCUCGUGUGUGUUGCAGCCCAACACCCUUCCAAAGUGGCCCAAAACCCACCUAAACCUCCUCCAUCAUCUCGGUCGUUCGAUCACGAUCGCGUGGCCGAAAACCGCACCUCAUUUGGACUCUCCUAGCUCCCUCUACCUAUAAAUAUGUGCUCCCCUCCCGAAAUUCGCGGUGCAAACCUUAAAAUCCCUCCCCUCGCGCCACCGGACAAAUCCUCCCACGCCGGGCAAUGUCCGCGCCGCCGCGUCGGACCAAUCCGGGCGUGCCACGUCGCCCGUGGCCGUCUCCAGCCACCCCUGGGCCGCCAUGUGGCGUCGCCACCUCACCCCAGCGCUCCCCACCGCCGCCGGCCCUGCGAGCCCUGCCGCGGCCCACCUGAGCCCAUCUGGGGCUCGGGACAGCCCCCGCGUCGUCUCCCGCUCCCUCGUCCCCGAGCUCCAGGGGAGGGAGCUCCCGCACCAGGCCCCGUCGGCGUCCUUGCCGGAGCUGCUCGCCGGAGCAGCAACGAGCUCCACCAGGUCGACCCCGUCCCUCUCCUCUCCCUUUUCUCUCUCUUCUCUUUUUCUCUCCCUAACCUCUCUGCGCUUCCACAUGGUCAGCGCCACCACCAGGGCUCCCUCGCCGACGCCCACAACGAACCGCCGUUGGAUCCGGCCGGAAUGGACCCGGCGCGACCAGAUCCGGUCAUCUCCAUGUCCCCGCGACCUCCCCGCCGUUGCUGCGCCGUCGCCGCCGUCUCUGCCUUUCGGUUCGUGCGGGCACGAGGAGGAAGAGCGCCUCUCGUGUGGGCCCCGCGUGGGCCGAUGCGCCCCAAGGCCCAGCUCCCGGCCCAGUCGCCUGGCCUGCUAUUUCCACCGCCUUGGGAAAAGGCCCACUGGGUGAGAACCCCGCUGUGCACUAUUGGCCCAGUCCGAUUCGGCCCGCCUCUAUUUUUUUCAGAUCUACAAUUUGUCUAUUUUUCCAGAGGAGAGCAUUUUUGCAGGAAAACCCUUGUGGAUCAUGCAUAUAAUAACUCAUGAACCGUGCAUCGGAUCUAAAUAAGUUAUAUAUGAAACUUGCUUAGAACUUUGUCUAGAUUCAUAAUAUCCAACUUUCAUCUAUGUUUGAAAUGUUUAAAAUGCUGUUUGAUUAAAUUUGCUCCUAUGUCAUGUUAAAAUGCUUUAAUUCAUAACUAAAUAACCGUAGCUCGGAUUUAAACAAACUUUAUAUGUAAAUGAGGUAGAAAAAUGCCUAGUUUAACAUGGUGGCAUCACUUUGCAUGUUCAACAACUAUAGAAUAUGGUUUAGGGCAGAACAGUACCAAAUCUAUAAUAUGCUCAUGAGGAGUUUCCGGAUUUGUUGUUCGAUGUUCCGGCCUCAUUUAAACUUGCCUAGAUAGGUAGUUUUAUUGUGCUUCACCCUCUUGCCAUGUUAAUAAACAUUUAAUCUUGUUGGGUACAUAAACGAGAGAGAACUAAAUAAGUCAUGUGGUGUUUUCUUCAAUAUGCAACUCCGUUGCAUAAUGAGCUCCACUUAAUUUGUAGGAUUGUUUAUGCAUUUUGCCAUGCCAUGCCAUGUAUCAUUAAACCGUACAUACAUCAUACUUGGUUGUGCAUCAUGCCAUGUCCACGUGUUGUUUAUUUACUAUGUUGUGUGCUUCUUUUCGGUGUUGCUUCUUCGGGUUGGUUCCGUUAACGUCGCGUUUGUGAGGAACCGUUCGACUAUGUCCGUUUGUCUUCUUCAUGGACUCGCUCUUCUUCCUUGCGGGAUCUCAGGCAAGAUGACCAUACCCUCGAAAUCACUUCUAUCUUUGCUUGCUUAGUUGCUCGCUCUUUCGCUAUGUCUAUGCUGCGAUACCUACCACUUGCUUAUCAUGCCUCCUAUAUUGUUGAACCAAGCCUCUAACCCACCUUGUCCUAGCAAACCGUUGAUUGGUUAUGUUACCACUUUGCUCAGCCCCUCUUAUAGCAUUGUUAGUUGCAGGUGAAGAUUGGAGUUUGUUUAAUGUUGGAACAUGGAUAUUUUGUUGGGAUAUCACAAUAUCUCUUAUUUAAUUAAUGCAUUUAUAUACUUGGUAAAGGGUGGAAGGCUCGGCCUUAUGCCUAGUGUUUUGUUCCACUCUUGCCGCCCUAGUUUCCGUCAUAUCGGUGUUAUGUUCCCGGAUUUUGCGUUCUUUACGCGGUUGGGUUAUAAUGGGAACCCCUUGACAGUUCGCCUUGAAUAAAACUCCUCCAGCAAGGCCCAACCUUGGUUUUACCUUUUGCCACCUAGCCUUUUUCCCUUGGGAGUCGCGCAUCCUGAGGGUCAUCUUAUUUUAACCCCCCCGGGCCAGUGCUUGUCUAAGCGUUGGUCCAAACUAGAGCCCCUUGCAGCGCCACCUCGAAGAAACUCGAUGGCUGGUUUUAGUUGUACGGAUUGCUUAUCCGGUGUUGCCCUGAGAACGAGAUAUGUGCAGCUCCUAUCGGGAUGUCGGCGCAUCGGGUGGUCUUGCUGGACUUGUUUUACCAUUGUCGAGGAUGCCUUGUAGAACCGGGAUUCCGAGUCUGAUCGGAAUGUCUCGGGAGGAGGUCUAUUCCUUCGUUGACCGUGAGAGCUUGUCAUGGGCUAAGUUGGGACACACCUGCAGAGAUUUGAACUUUCGAAAGCCGCGCCCGCGGUUAUGGAAAGAUGGGAAUUUGUUAAUGUCCGGUUGUAGAAAACCUGAAGUUGACCUUAAUUAAAAUACAUCAACCGCGUGUGUAACCGUGAUGGUCUCUUCUCGGCGGAGUCCGGAAAGUGAACACGGUGUUGGAGUUAUGCUUGACGUAGGUUGUUUUAGGAUCACUUCUUGAUCAUACUUUUAUCGACCGUGCUUUGCCUUCUCUUCUCGCUCUCACUUGCGUAUGUUAGCCACCAUAUAUGCUAGUCGCUUGCUGCAGCUCCACCUCACCCUUUUACCUUACCCAUAAGCUUAAAUAGACUUGAUCGCGAGGGUGCGAGAUUGCUGAGUCCCCGUGGCUCACAGAUACUUCAAAAACCAGCUCGCAGGUGCCGAUGAGACCGUGCAGGUGACGCAACCAAGCUCAAGGAGGAGCUCGAUGAAGAUCUUGUCCUUUGUUUUGUUUCGUUCUAGUUGAUCAGUAGUGGAGCCCAGUUGGGGUCAAUCGGGGACCUUGUCGCAUUUGGGGUUCUUCUUUUAUUUUGGUUCCGUAGUCGGACCUUGAUUGUAUCUGGAUGAUGUAAUGUUUUAUUCAUGUAUUUGUGUGAAGUGGCGAUUGUAAGCCAACUAUGUAUCUCUUUUCCCUUAUGUAUUAUAUGGGUUGUGUGAAGAUUACCUCACUUGCGACAUUGCUUUCAAUGCGGUUAUGCCUCUAAGUCGUGCUUCGACACGUGAAAGAUAUAGCCGCAUCGAGGGCGUUACAUAUGGCUUUCUUACUGAAGCAAGACAACUGAGCAAGAAUAAUGAUGUUAAGUGGCCUUGGGGACUCCAGCUGAAACAAUGCAAAAUAAUUCCCAGGCUCUGUAACAUGUUGCUGCAACUUAGCUACAAUAGGUUUCUGUAUCAAAUGGUGAACAGGUCCAGUAGUGUCGUCAAACAAGUACUUCGCUGGUAGAUCGCUUGGGAAGGCUGUGGCGAUAUGUACCAUAAGCUGUUGAUAAGCAUUUCCACCCAGCAUUAUUUCACCAAAUGAGGAGCGAAACUCGAAAGGGACCAGUAGUACAGUAAGCGGAAUUCUAGCUCCAGAACCACCAAUCAUUUGUUUAGAAUUGCAGUUCAUAUCAAGAUGGUCACUCCUCUUAUAUUCCCUUUGACUCAAAAAUAGCCAAUACAUGCUCAUGGUCCUCAUGGUCCCUAGCAACUUCUCAUGCCAAGGAAUAUUACAUGUAGCAGCUUGCUCCAGAAAGUGAUGUUCCGACAAGUUCCACUGCUCCUGGCUUUGAUGCACAAUGUCACCAGCACCCCAUAAUUUCUCAAGGCAAAAACAGCCAGCCAACUCACUGAUGUGCACAUGAUUAAUAAACUGAUGCUCAAUAAAUUCUACAAUUUGUAGUUCAGACAAACCAUGCACUUCUCGAGGAUUGUUGGAUGGUAGCAGAAACUGAAAAUCAUGCCUAAGGCAGGGCCUGCAGACAGUUGUUUUCCGCACAAAACUGAGAGUCCAUGCAACUCCACAUUGUAAUUGUUCAAAAGAACUAGGGAGAUCAGACUGAAUGGUGAAAUCAUUGCUAUUUGUUCCGGGAUGUGCACAAUAACAGAUCAUCUCACUACCACAAUCGUGCUUAGUGGAAACCAAGAAAGUGAGUUGCUCUUGUUCAGCAAAUGCACAAAGUUCAGAAAACCACUGUUUACUGUAAUGAAAGAGCUUCACAUGUGUAUUGAGGCAUGAAUCAUCUUCAUCUUGUUGCAAAGACCACAAACAUAGGAGCUGACCUGGGAAUAUCCUUAUGCCGUUUCCAAGAAGACCACACACAAGAUUUCCAACAUGGCUUAAUUCCAUCAGAAAUCUACUACUAAUCAAACCACUGUCAUGCACUUGAACUAACAUAAUUAGAUGCUUCAUGAACCUUCCAAUUAGAAACGAUGGCCAUGGAAUGGGUCGGACCUCGUUUCCGUCUGCUGAUACAAGAUGCACACAAUCACACUUCUCUAAUGGCACACUGACUUCAAACGACUUCAGUCGCACACUUGGUAGAUACCUCCAGUAUUCUCUCAAAAAAUUCAGAGCAACCGGCAAACGCUGCACCACAUAAGUAACUUGCAACAGCAGCCCUUCAUAAUUCAGAGUCGUGCCUUCAAGAGAACCAGCAAACGACGGCCACGGCGCGGGCCGUACAUCAUUGCCGUCAGCAAAAUGCAUCUGAAAUGAUGACCACGGAGUCGGUCGGACCUCGUUUCCCUCUGCAAUAUGAUCCACCAGAAACGAUGGCCAUGGUGACGCCCGUAUCAGCAGCCCUGCAUGCCCCGGCGAGACGUCCAGGUCGUGGUUCCGGAACGGCUGCACGACGGCAUCGGUGCCCGAGUGAAUGAGAUCCGUGACGAGCAUUGGUGCGGCUGUUGAGAGGAGCGGCACUGUCAUGACUGAAGGUGGGAACGCCCUCGUGUUGUUGUCCUGGUUCGAGCAUUCUGUCGAACAGGUCACGGGCUUGUCAUUGAUGGAGUCCUCGGACGCAUCGUGGGGGACCACCCGGGCCUCAGUGGUGGAGGAGGGGGUGCCGGGGAGGACGGCGAGCUCGGUGACGACUUCUGGAAUAUCCUCCACCCAUGUGUGCUCGUCCAUGCCCGUGUCGGGGACGUGGCGGUUGCUGUCGAGGGAAGACUCAGGGGAUGUGUCGUGGACCUCCUCGUCGAUGGUGGGUGAAGUAGUCGUGGAUGCGAGGUCGAUGUGAGACGAGGUAGCAGUAGCAGGAGGAGGGGAGGCAGGCAGAUCGACUUGUGAGGUAGCCCCGACUGGAUCGCCCGCACGCGCGGCCGCGAACUCGGACUUGAUGCUAUCCAUCUGCGCCGAUAGCUGCGCGAGAAACCACAACAUCUGCUCGUCUGCGGUCAUGGUGUCCCACUCCGGUGGAUAGACCAGGGAACAAGGAGACUGCUCCUGAUCGGACAUGGUGCCGUCGCCGGUGGAAAUUGGGAAAUCGAGGAGGUGGUGGUGAAAUUUACUGGCUCUGAAUACCAGAUGUUAACAACCUAACGAUAUCUUCCUCGAUCUAUCACUCACAGAUGAACUCAAAUAACAAUGGUGGAUUACAGGAUCACAGAUACACGAAUUGGAGGAAGGAAGGUAAGGGGAAAAGAGGGGACGGGGCUUGCCUGCUCCUGUCCCGUGCUCCCAUCUGUACUCCCAUUGCUAAUUUUUCAUCUAACGGCAGCGCCAGAUUCCCUUCCCCGCGUGCCUUUUCUGCCAAAAUAAAUAAAUACCCGAGCUCCCGUAUUCCCGUAUAUCCCUCGCCCUCAGUCCCUCACGUAAUAUCCACAACUGUUUUUGGAGGGAAAAUGUCCGCCAAACUAACUAUUGGCGCCAAUAUAGAAAACAGAGGCACUAGGCAAAUCUUUACAAACACAAGAUCCUAAAUACCAGGUGGAAGAGAUUUCAAUCUGGAGCCUGAUUGCAUCCACAAACCAAAUUCAGGCAGAUAGCAAAGUGUGCAAAUAUCAAGCGAUCCGAGGUUUAAAGUAAGGAAAUCAUUGUCCUCUAUGGCUUCUUCAAGCAGUGGUCAUGAGAACCAUGAACACGGCAAUGGAUCUUCAGGACCAAAAGUAAGAAAUCGGACUCGUAUUCUUCUUUAUCUCCUCUUUUCAUUGUUCUUGUCCUUCUUGUUGAACUAGUUGCACCAUUUCCUCUGCUGAAGAACAAAUCAAAAAUGUUGAUGAUUGUAUAAGAUCUAUGCAAAUCUGACACAAAAGGAAUAGCAGUUCUGCACAACUUACUUUGUCAGGUCAAUCAUGUUAUUUCACUCAUAUAUACAAGAAUAUGUUAUUCUUUCGAGGCCUACUGUAUGUAAUAAAAUCAGAUGUCUGAUUGUUGUUUUAGCCAUAAUCAAUAUUAGUUUCACAAAAUCAACAUUAUGAUCUUCUGCAAUUGACUUAGAUUCUGGUAGUUGAAAAAUAAUUUAGUGUACACGUAGUAUUCAAUUAGUGUGUUGUUUCACAAAUCUAACUGCCGAACAUAUGAGUAUUAACUAAAGCGAAUACUGAUUCAUAUAGGAUGUGCAUGAAACUGCUCCUAGCAAUGCAACAGAUUGCAUUGAUGAAAGGGUACCAAAGGUUGGCAUGCAAUUUGUAUCUGAAGAGGAAGCUUACUCCUUUUAUAACAAGUAUGCAAAGGCUAUUGGUUUUAGCAUCCGAAGAGGGAGUCAACAUAAAGUAAAGAAUUCUUCCGUGAUACAACAAAGAACAUUUACAUGCUCCCGUCAAGGUAUGGGCUGCUUGUAUUUUGUUUUGGUUAUAUAACUAUUGGUAUCACUAAGAUACUUAUUUCAAUUGACAGGAUUCCGUGCAGAAGAUAAGAGAGAGGAUUCUUUCAGUUACAGUAGGCCCGAAACACAAUGUGGCUGUCAAGCCCAUAUGAAGAUAAGUCUCAAAAACGGAUUAUAUUAUGUGUAUGAAUUUGAGGCUGCACAUAAUCAUAAUCUUGCUACUGGAGACAUGGCCUUAUACUUAAGAUCCCAAAGAAAAGUGACGGAAGCACAAAUAGCAAACGCUGAGGUCGCAAAGUCUGUAGGCAUUUUGAAUAAAGCAACUAUUGAUCUUAUGGCCAAAGAAGCAUGUGGACUUCCAAAUCUUGGGUUUGCACCUAAAGAUAUGAAAAAUCGUUUAUACUCUAAGAGAACAUUGCAAGCAAAGAAAGGAGACACAGGGGGAGUGUUAGAAUACAUGGAGAAGAAGGUAAAAGAAGAUGCCAAUUUUUUCUAUUCAAUUCAAGUUGAUGAGGAUGAUCUGAUAACUAAUAUUUUCUGGGCUGACUCGAAAAUGAUAUCGGACUAUGCAAUGUUUGGUGAUGUUAUAUGCUUUGACACCACAUAUAGGAAACUAGAUGAUGGGCGUCCCUUUGGUUUGAUUGUUGGGGUGAAUAAUCACAAGAAAACUAUGGUCUUUGGUGCUACACUUCUCUAUGAUGAAACUGCUGAAAGUUUUGGUUGGCUUUUUAGAACAUUUCUAACAGCCAUGUCUGGGAAACAUCCAAGGACUAUUCUGACCGAUGAAGAUGCAGCAAUGGCCAAGUCAAUUAGUAAAGUCCUUCCUCACUCUCACCAUAGACUUUGCGUGUGGCAUAUGAAUCAAAAUGCUUGCAAGCACCUUGCUGGGGUUGUUGAAGAAUAUAAGAAGUUCAAUGCUGAUUUUCAGCAUUGUAUCUAUGAUAUUGAGGAAGAAGAAGAUUUUAUAAAUGAAUAAAAUAGAAUGCUAGACAGAUAUGGACUACGUGACAAUACGUGGCUGCAAAGGUUGUUUGAGAAAAGGGAGCAAUGGGCACUAGUGUAUGGCAGAAAUACAUUCUCAGCCCACAUGAGCACUACCCAAAGAAGUGAAAGCAUGAAUAAUGAACUAAAGCGGUACAUUAGUAUUAAAUAUGACAUGCUUACUUUUUUCGAGCAUUUUGAGCACCUAGUUGCGGAUAAAAGAUUUGUAGAGGUCAAGUGUGACUUCAAGGCCUCACAAAGUACUCCCAAGCUGAAGGCAGAAGGAAGCUAUGUGUUAAGGCAAGCCGCAAGUACAUAUACUCCCGCAAUAUUCAAGAUGUUUCAGGAGCAAGUGCUUCGGACCCUGAACUAUGACACAUUUCUUUGUGAUUCAAGUGAUAAAGAGAAGAGGGUUUAUACAGUAAAAUUUCAUGGAACACAACAUGAGCAUGUUGUCAGUUUUUAUCCAAACGAAGAAAAAGUCAAUUGCAGUUGCAAGAAGUUUGAAUUUGCUGGAAUCCUCUGCUCUCAUUGCUUAAAGAUACUUGAUAUUAAUAAUAUCAAGCAUAUCCCUGAACAAUAUAUAUUGAAAAGAUGGACAAUUGAUGCCAAAAGUGCUAGAGAUAACAAGCAAUCGCAAUUUGCACGAGGAUCUAAAAGCAAGAAUGUCAAACUUUUACAAGGACUUGUGCAGAAUGUUUAUCCACAUAGCUGCUCGCGCCGCAGAGUCCGAUGAAACAUAUGAUAUGGCUGCUAAUGCGCAGAGCAGCUAGCACGAAAUGUGGAGCAAAGCUUGAAAGUUAGAGUUGAUCCAGACCCAAAUCCGGAUUUGGGUGACUCCUCUGUUUCACAAGGUAUAUAUUUAUAUACUAUACUAGUAGUUCCAUAGAGUAUUUUCAAACUAAGACUUGCAUUUAAUUUUACGGUUGCACUUGCAGGUCUGAACAUCGACUCUACUAGAGUUUCAAAGCAUAACGAGGGGCUUCACAUGCCAAGAGGUAUGAAGGUAAAGGAGAAGACUGUACGAGGGUCAGCGAGACCCGUUGGUGGCUUGGAGAAAGCAAAAACAACGAAGAAAAAGAAGAUAGAUGAUUCUUUACAACUACAACCUGAAAUGCCUUUCGCAAAUGAAAUGCCUACGAAUAACCCAAUCUUAAUGGUAUAAGAAGUCUAAGCUUUUUGACUUUAUCUACUUUUCAAACUUCUGCGACACUAAGCUUUGCUAUUAAUUUUCAUAGUGUCAAUUCGGAGAAAAUAUUGUACCAGGAUCAGGAAGACCCGUUGGUGGCUCGGAGAAAGCAAAAACAAAGAAGAAAAAGAAGGCAGUCCAUUCUUUACAACGACCUGAAAUGCCUUUGACAAACCAAACGCCUAGGUAUCUACCACAGUACAAACCAACCCAAAUGGUAUAAGAAGUGUACUUUUUAAACUAUUUUUCAUUUUCAAUCACUUAUGACCUAAGCUUUGCUAUUUAUCUGCAUAGGUUCAUCUGGGAGCUCCGCCAAAUCAUGUGUACCCCUAUUUAGCACAUUACAACCCAAGUCUGCAACAAUCCAUUGGUAUGUCGACCCCUACGAUGAUGCCAGGACAAAAUCUAUUACUCUUCCAACAACAGACUCCUACCAGUGAUACUUGUACCCCUAUGAUGAUGACAGGACAGAAUCUACCAUUCUUCCAACAACAGAAUCCUACAAUUGGUACCUCUAGCCCUACGAUGAUGCCGGAACAGAAUCUAUCAUUCUUUCAACAGCAGACUCCUACCAGUGGUACCUCUACCCCUAUGAUGAUGCCCAGACAGAAUCUAUCAUUUUUCCAGCAACAAAAUCCUACCAGUGGUACCUCUACCCCGACGAUGAUGCCAGGACAAAAUCUACCAUUCUCCCAACAACAAAAGCCAGCUUAAUCAAUGUUAUAGAUUUUUGUUUCAUGUACUUGUGUGCAAUUCUAUUAGAACCUAUGAGUAUACGACCAUGGAUUGAAGGAGACUAUCUAUGUCAAUCAGCAAGUAAUUGAAUAAGCAAUUUGUGACCGUGAUAAAUAUAGAAAUAGUAUUAUCUGUCAUGCAUCAUGUAUAAACUGUACUAUUACCAACAUCAUAGAUUUGUUUGUCUAACCUGACAAACAGACCAGUAGUCGAUGACUAUGGUAAUGGAGCGCCAUUGUCACCUGGACGAGGAUCAAUCCAACCAUAUGACUUUGCAUGCAUCGAUCUAAGGAGUAGUUUGUUCACUUAGUUGAAUUGUGGGCUCAUCCUGUAUGCAAAUAUCACCAUCAGUAGCUAUAUUAAUUUCAGUUUAUUUUCAACCAGUACACGAAACCAUCAGCAUUUUGUGCGAUGAAAGAUAUUUCGUUGCCUCUAAUAUUAAACAUCUUUAAAGAAAUAUCAAAUUGAGCACCUUCAGCACACAGAAAACAGUCAGCUAACUAGGUAUCCAGGACAUGUAGAAACUAAUUUCGGUCUAUAAUUUUGCAAUCACAUAAUUUUAGCUUUUAACGAAUCACUGUAUGGAACAAAUUAAUUUGCAAGGCCCCAAUGUGCAUGUGCGCUCAAUUGGUAGUAGCUAGCUGUUGACUUGGUCAGAUGUGAACUGAAUGGCAAGCAAACCAGAGGAUACAUCUGUAUUCUAAACAAAACAGUAAAGAGGAGGAUGAAAGGGAGCGACGGUGAGUUCCUGUACUGACCAUGGCGCGCAGCAGGCGAGGUCGGCAGCUGCGUGAAUGGUGUCGGGGCCCCGAAGACCCGCUGGAUGGCGGCCGCCCUCGUCGCUCGCCGCGGCCUCUGCCCUGCCACCGCCGCCGUGGUCUUCAAUGGCGGCACAACAGCCACCACCACCACCUCCACUAUCCCGACCCGAGCUCCACCAUGGCUGCUAGCAACUCCAAGACCUGGCCUUUAGCGCGAGGACGAAUCAAGACGGGGAGCCGGUCUUGCGACGGGAGAAGCCGCAAUCUGGGACGGGCGCGGGGCCAUAGCUGUGACAGAAGCUUCAGCCCAACUCAGGCUUGCCGCUCUCCUCCUUUCACGCCGGCGGACCUCCUGGAGGCCGCGACGACGAUACGGGGCGGUAGCAGAUCCACUCGAUGCCUCCGCUCCAGACGGUCGACUGUCGGCAGGGAAGGCGAAAAAGGAGGAACGAAUACAUAUUGGGGCAAACGGAAAUACGAGAGCUUCGUGUGUUUUUUUUCCCAGAAAAAAGACACGCGAGGGAGGAAAACUGGCGCAGCCGUUAGAUAAAGAAUUAGCGAAGGGGAGUACGGAUGGGAGCACGGGACGGGAGCAGGCAAGCCCCGUCCGAAAAGAGGGUAGCCGCCGUCGGGUUGGUCCGUGAUCCACUGGAUAGGUUGUUCGUUGCUUUUGCCCAAGUAUUUGUAGCUGCAUCGGCCAGAGGAUUCCCAGCCGGGCCAGGCCCAAGUGAUGUCCAAAGGCAAGCCCACAUGGGCUAGGGGGAGGGCCCUGACAGAUACUAUAUGAAAUAUCUCGACUUUUUACACUAAGCACUGUAACUACCCAAACAAAUAACUCCAUCGAAGCAUAAACUCAUCAGUUCCAGCCUGCAUGGCUACAGUAAUAGCCAAGCAAUCAAGCUUUUUACAGGACUCCCUUAAGGUCAAACUCUGGAGGCGUCAUCUGCCCCUCACUUUCUAGUAAACCAUCCCCCAUCCAAUAUUCACAAAUGCAAAAUGUCUUUCAGGUCCCCAACAAGAAUUUGAAGCCUAGGCACUCUGCGUGGAGAGAGGGUUGCAAAGGGGAGUCACUUUAUGGAUUUUUCAGAGCAGCCAGCCUCU